AGGAAAGAUAACUUGAGUUGUGUGACCAUUCAGCUCUCGCACACCCACACAGUUGAAAAUCCUGACAUGAAGUCAAAAAGUACAAUUCUUUGUGAUUUUCAUUUUAAUUAUUUCCCUAAACUACAUGUUAUAAACCAACUCAGACCAGAGAAACUUUCCCACAAGUUGUUGGUGUGAAAAAUCAGCCAAAGUAGAUGAAUCAAAGCAGAAAGAUCAUUAUUCUUCCUUUUUUUGGUUUUUAAAAAAGUGGAACUAUCAACUCAGCCAGGCAAAAGAUGAAAAUUCAAAUCAUACAAACUAAUAGCAAUUUCCAAACAAUUAUAAGCUAAGUUUCAACUCUUCAGUUCUAUUUUAUGUUGCCAUAACAAUUUCCAACCAACAAAAUUAAAAGCCAACUGCUAGUAGCCUCUCCAUAUUGGUAAAUUACCUAACAAAAAAU
rnacentral:misc_RNA from 1 species